rnacentral:rRNA from 1 species
CAACCUGCCUGUAAGCGGGGAAUAACCCGUUGAAAGACGGACUAAUACCGCAUAAUACUAAAAUUACUGCAUGGUAAUUUAUUUAAACAUUUAUGGCUUACAGAUGGGCAUGCGCAUGAUUAGCUAGUUGGAGAGGUAACGGCUCCCCAAGGCAACGAUCAUUAGGGGUUCUGAGAGGAAGGUCCCCCACACUGGAACUGAGACACGGUCCAAACUCCUACGGGAGGCAGCAGUGAGGAAUAUUGGUCAAGUGGGCGAAAGCCUGAACCAGCCAUGUCGCGUGAAGGAUAGAAGGUCCUAUGGAUUGUAAACUUCUUUUGCAGGAGGGUAAAGUGAGCUACGUGUAGUUCAUUGCAAGUACCCUGCGAAUAAGCAUCGGCUAACUCCGUGCCAGCAGCAGC